rnacentral:rRNA from 1 species
CUCCCUACGGGAGGCAGCAGUGGGGAAUAUUGCACAAUGGGGGAAACCCUGAUGCAGCGACGCCGCGUGAGUGAGGAAGUAUUUCGGUAUGUAAAGCUCUAUCAGCAGGGAAGAAAAUGACGGUACCUGACUAAGAAGCCCCGGCUAACUACGUGCCAGCAGCCGCGGUAAUACGUAGGGGGCACGCGUUAUCCGGAUUUACUGGGUGUAAAGGGAGCGUAGACGGAGGAGCAAGUCUGAUGUGAAAGAUCGGGGCUCAACCCCGGGCCUGCAUUGGAAACUGUUAAGCUGGAGUACAGGAGAGG